CACACUCUCAGUCCUCGCCCAAGUCCCAACCACUAUUUGAGUCAGGCGUGUCUCCUCGCGCUCCUCAGCCUGUCCCUUGUUUGAGGAGUUUGCCCCUAUUAGAUCACUUCUUGACCUGGAGUGGGUCUUUGUCUAGGUUCUGGGACCUUCUGUUGUUUGUAGAGGCUGGAGGAAAGGGACACACUGCCUGUGAAGGGUAGUUGAGGUCGACUCGUAGUGCAGAGUGGCGAGCGAGGCUCAGGCUUGCUGCCGACGGUUGGCGGGCAGCAGCGGGGUGAGGUACUAAAACGUUAUAUACAUGCAGUAGACAAAGUAAAACAUAAAUAGUGACCGAUAUGGCAACAUCAUCAGCUGGUAUUCACCGCUCACCAGAGUAGGCGUAGAAAAAGCUUUGCUCAGAGACGUUUUCGCUUAUAGCACAAAACUUUACAUAUACAACAGGUACUUAGAACCCAUUUUCCUUUGGUUUUGGACCACAAGGAUUCCAUUUCCGCAAUAAAAAAAAAUAGCUCAAACCCCGCCGCACUGGCGGUACAUGUUUUAAAAAACUAUGCCGCAGCGGACGGGUUAA